UGUGCCCUUGAACCCUGCAGAGAGACCUGCUC
rnacentral:piRNA from 1 species